rnacentral:lncRNA from 1 species
UAACGUGAUUGUGACUAGCAACCUUCACUACUUGUGAAUAUAAGUUCAUAACGAUUAGGUGAAACUCUCUUAUAUUCUAGCGUCAAAUUCAUGCAUGAAAAUUAAGCGUGCACUCUCAACCAACAUACACAAAUUAGUUUUUAUACGAACGGAUAAGUAAAUUGAAUUCACAACUUAUGAAUCACAACUGGAUGUAAUCAAAUCAUAUU